GACGAACGCUGGCGGCGUGCCUAAUACAUGCAAGUCGAGCGAACAGACGAGGAGCUUGCUCCUCUGACGUUAGCGGCGGACGGGUGAGUAACACGUGGAUAACCUACCUAUAAGACUGGGAUAACUUCGGGAAACCGGAGCUUAUACCGGAUAAUAUAUUGAACCGCAUGGUUCAAUAGUGAAAGUCGGUUUUGCUGUCACUUAUAGAUGGAUCCGCGCCGCAUUAGCUAGUUGGUAAGGUAACGGGAUACCAAGGCGACGAUGCGUAGCCGACCUGAGAGGGGGGUCGCCCAGCUGGGAGGGUGAAAGGGGCCCAGACGCCUGCGGGAAGCAGCAGUCGGGAAUCUUACGCAAUGGGGGAGAGCCUGACAGAGCAACGCGGCGUGAGUGGUGAAGGUGUUCGGAUCGUGAAGCUCUGUUAUUAGGGGAGAACAAAUGUGUAAGUAGCUGUGCAGGUAUUGACGGUACCUGGUCAAGAAGCCACGGCUAACUACGUG
rnacentral:rRNA from 1 species